rnacentral:lncRNA from 10 species
UUUCCAAGUUAACCAUGAAUGUAAGAGAGAUCCAAAAGAUAACAUGUAUAUUAUCUCUUAAAAUAUUGAUUUUUUCUUUAAAAUCUUCUCUGAUAAAAUGAGAAAAAGAUGAGGAAAAUAACAAUAAUAAGUUCAUCUUUACUGAAUUUUUACUCAGUUACCAGGCAUUGUUCUAAGUACUUUUAGGCAUUAAUUCAUUUAAUCACCAAAUAAUGCAAGAGAUAGGUACCUUUAUUAUCCCCAUUUUGCAGAUGAGUAAACUGAGGAAAGGAGAACCAAUAAAACUGGGAUACAAUAAAACUGGGAUACAAGGAAAGCCAAUAAAACUGGGAUACAAAAUUGGGGUACUUACUGCCUUGAAGAAGGUCAAAAUAAUGCCUUUAU